rnacentral:rRNA from 1 species
GUGGCUUAAUUCGAAGCAACGCGAAGAACCUUAUCCUGGGUUGAACUACGUCGGAUUAGCUCGCCGAAAAGCGAGUGACGCGGUUUACCGUGGAACGUCGAUAGGUGCUGCAUGGCUGUCGUCAGCUCGUGCUGUGAAGUGUAGGGUUAAGUCCCUUAACGAGCGCAACCCCUAUCGCUAGUUGCCAGCGCGUAAUGGCGGGGACUCUAGCGAGACUGCCGGUGUUAAACCGGAGGAAGGUGGGGACGACGUCAAGUCCGCAUGGCCUUUAUGCCCAGGGCUGCACACGUGCUACAAUGGCAGGUACAGAACGACGCAAUACCGCGAGGUGGAGCAAAUCGCUUAAAACCUGCCCAAGUUCGGAUAGUAGGCUGCAAUUCGCCUACUUGAAGUUGGAAUCGCUAGUAAUCGCGGAACAGCUACGCCGCGGUGAAUACGUUCCUGAGCCUUGUACACACCGCCCGUCAAGUCAUGGAAGCUGGUAGCGCCCGAAGUCGCCUCAACUCAGAGGUGCCCACGGUGAGACUGGUGACUGGGACUAAGUCGUAACAAGGUA